AUGUCAUGUCAACGUGGAACGAUUUUCAAGGGAAGAUCUUCUAGUCGGCCGACUGGACGGAAUAUAGUCUUCUAGGGCAUCAUAUUGCCCUGGUUUUUCAUGUGCGUACACUGGAAAUAUGCACGGAUAUUUCUAAAUAUAUUUGUAGGUUUCUUAGUGGGAAUUGUGGAUGGAGCUUGCCAGUCAAUAGGUUUUAAUCAUCGUUGGAUCGAGCUGAAUCCGUGCAGUACGUGUGUAGAAGGACGCUUUAAACGGGGAAAGUUUAUAUGGACGGACAGUCACGCCGAACCACAAUAACUAUACUUUGAAACCUAUGGCUGUCAGAUGAAUGUGAAUGAUACUGAGAUUGCCUGGUCCAUUCUACAGAGGGAAGGAUACUUGCGUGCUAGUGAACUUUCACAGGGAGAAAGCGGAGCAGACCAUAUGGAACAGAUUGGAACAGAGAAUGCAGCGUGGCUACACUAGAGAGGCAUACCUGGACUUGUGGCCAAUAUUUGGAAGAAAAUCCCAGCACGCUGUCCCAUCUGCACUUGCAGAAGUCCCACACAUUCCACCGUCUCCAGGAUGACGUUUCUGCAGAAGUAAAACGUCGCCGCCUGGAGGAGCUAAUCAGCGUGUUCAGAGAGGAGGCUUCCAGGGUCAAUGCGAGCCUUAUCGGGAGCACACAGCUCCUUCUAGUGGAAGGAGAAAGUAAGAGGUCUGCACAAGAGCUGUGCGGACAGAAUUAUGGGAACCUGAAGGUGAUUUUUCCUGCCACACAGGCUUUCCCCAUCAGGUCUGGAGACUAUGUGCUGGUGAAGAUCACAUCGGCCAGCUCUCAGAGCCUGAGAGGCCACGCCCUUGGCCCUGCCUCUUUAAAAUCCCCUUCUAAAAGUCCUUGGAAAAGUCCUUCCUCAAGACUAUUGAGAUGAACAGAUGGAGGUCUGCUGACCCCACCCCCCGUCUCUCCUGCUCCUCUCCUGUCUGCCUUACUUCACACAGGACAAUCAUUGUGCAGUCAUUUUGUGCAGACGGUGGGGUGUCGCUGAAAGACACUGGUCGUUGCAGAUCAGGGAGUACUGUUUUAUCUCCAAAACCUACUAUUCAGGGUUUACUCUCAUGAAAAUAUUGUUUUUCUUUAAUGUAUUUAAUAUGUGGCGUUUUACGAUUUGAGUAUGUUAGUAUCAUUGAUUUCAGUAUAUUAUUGGGCUUUCAGGACGUUGUACUUGCUGGUAAAUAUUUGCAUCAGGGAUAUCUUCCAAAAUUGCAGACCUGUCUUCAGCUAAACAUUGUAUGAGCCUGUACAGUUGGCUUCUCGAUGUUGCAGCAGGAGGACAAUAUGAUUGAAAAGGACAUUUUUGUUUGCUGUUAUUAAGAAAGUAGAAUAUAUUGGCAUUUCAACUAUUACUCAUUUGUGAAAAUCAAUGGGAAACAUUAAAGCUAUUGAACUGAUGAACUGAGGAUUCUAGGCAGUUGUUUUGAAA